GAUGAACGCUGGCGGCGUGCCUAACACAUGCAAGUCGAACGGUUAAGCCACCUUCGGGUGGGCAUACAGUGGCGAACGGGUGAGUAACACGUGACCAACCUGCCCCUUGCUCCGGGACAACCUCGGGAAACCGAGGCUAAUACCGGAUGCUCCGGCCCCUCCGCAUGGAGGGGCCGGGAAAGCCUGGCGCGGCAAGGGAUGGGGUCGCGGCCCAUCAGGUAGACGGCGGGGUAGCGGCCCACCGUGCUUUCGACGGGUAGCCGGGUUGAGAGACCGACCGGCCACAUUGGGACUGAGAUACGGCCCAG
rnacentral:rRNA from 1 species